rnacentral:rRNA from 1 species
CAGUCGCCGCGGUAAAACGUAGGUGGCAAGCGUUGUCCGGAAUUAUUGGGCGUAAAGGGCUCGCAGACGGUUUCUUAAGUCUGAUGUGAAAGCCCCCGGCUCAACCGGGGAGGGUCAUUGGAAACUGGGAAACUUGAGUGCAGAAGAGGAGAGUGGAAUUCCACGUGUAGCGGUGAAAUGCGUAGAGAUGUGGAGGAACACCAGUGGCGAAGGCGACUCUCUGGUCUGUAACUGACGCUGAGGAGCGAAAGCGUGGGGAGCGAACAGGAUUAGAUACCCGAGUAGUCCCUGUCUCUUAUAC